UUACCCCAUGAUGCUCAGGUCCGCCGCAUCUCCUGGGUCGUGGGGUCGGUCGGCUGGCCUCGGAUUUGCGGAUUCCUCGUGCUGCAACCGGAACCAGCCGACCCCCAU
rnacentral:sRNA from 20 species